rnacentral:piRNA from 1 species
UCAGAUCUCUGUCUUUGGUCUCUUAAGGUA